UCUACAGCACCCUCGAAAUUAAGGAUGUAGAGAGCCUAUCAUGAGCGCAUCUUAUAGCCUUACCUUGGCUGUCUCUAUCUUGGAUGUGUUCUUUGAUCAUAGACCUACAUGAAUGCGUGCAGGAAAGAGAGCAAAAGUUGUUUGCAGGUCAUCGCAAAAGGUCAUUGUUGACUGGCUGGAAUUUUUUGAAGAUGAAGGGGAUAUGAAGAAACAGAGAUAUUUCUAUUGGUGGAUUCGAAGUGGUGGAUCUGGGUGAGUCUCAGCACCCAGUCCAGUUCUGUUGGAACAAUGUGGUUCUGAACUCAGUACAUCUAAGCAAGGCGUACAAGUAAAAGCAGUUCGGGUGACUCGUGAUAGAAUGUUAAUGAGUUGGGAUGUAGGCCUUGGACCUGGUAUCUGCAAUUCACAAUGUUUUAUCCUGUUCCCCGUCAUGUGGGUGCAAAAUUGUUACUCCUCUUGGGAAAACUACAUCGAUGUCCUGGGCGACAAGUAUCCACCUGAACUGGCAUGACUGGAACCACUAGAGUUCGCCGAAGUGUGCAUAUAUCGUACUCUAUCAGGCUUCCUUGAAACAUGACAAUCGGAGGUUCGUGGGAGUAUGUAAUGGUGCCUAUCAAAUUGCGGAGGAUCGACGAUUAUAUAUUAUGCAUGGUUGGUUCAUUGUGCACAACCAUGUAUGAUGAGUGUAAUGUCCUACAUAUUGCAAGGUGCCAACAGUCCAAUGAUCUUCUGAACAACAUGAUAAGCUCAGUAAAUGACUUGGAAGAGUUGGGUGAAGAAGGAGCCAUUCAGGUUGAAGUGCGGCAAGUGUGCAUACUUUGUGUGAAUAAAGAUAGUUUUUCCAAGGCGCUACGUUCUUGAGGCAGUUGGAGCUUGCUUUGUGAGAUGGGCUAUGUGGCUUAGGAGGUUCAUGCAAGUGUUUUGCCCAAG
rnacentral:lncRNA from 1 species